UUAUGCAUCAAUAUUUACCUCACAAUUAAAAUUAAAAUGCAUUUUUCUUCAAUUUGAAAAUGAAAACAGCAUUUGAACUUUCAUCUUUAAAGACGUAACCUGCUGUACGGUGGACAGUAUUCAAAUGCAGUCGUCAGUGAGGAUGUCAGUCAUUCUCUGCAGCGGGACUUCAUGCACCUCGCUAAAGGGAAAACUAGCAGGUAUU